CCUGGUGGCUCAGAUGGUAAAGCAUCUGCCCGCAAUGCAAGAGACCCAGGUUCGAUUCCUGGGUCAGGA
rnacentral:tRNA from 1 species